CACCGGUUAAGCACAGUAUAUCACCCUACUCCUCAUAACAACCUUGUAUGUACUUGAAGACUAUUCUCAUGUCUCCCCUCUGUCUUCUCUUCUCUAGACUAAAAAACACCACUUUUUUCAAUC